AGUUGCUGGGAAGUUUUUUCGCUCUAGGAGGGCGAAAACAAGUGUUUGGAUCCGCUGGGACCCUCCAAGUUUUCUCAGCCUCGUCAGGGAGCAAGCGGGGCCCUGGCCCUCGUCUGGAGGAAGGCUAGAGAAGCUGUGGCCAGCUGGGAGGCUGGAGUUGGGAGCAGUUUGUGUUCUUUCCUCUCGGCUGAGCCUCACGUUUGGAGCAGUUCUUGCGUCCCCGGGUUGGGAGCGUCCUGGAUCGGUUGUCGCUUGGUUAGAGGGUCUCCUGGCGUUCCGCAGCCAGCCUCUCCCACCUACUUGCCAGCUCUGCCACUUACUAGUGUUAUAACGUUUUGAUUGAGUCAUCGGGCUCCAAUGCGUGGGGAUGUUUACCGCCGUUUAUCCGGGAUAGAGACUCCAUCGUGCUGACAGCAUCCUUUUAUUCACCGCCUCCGAAUUUGCAAAGAGGAGGAAGGAGGGACUUCUUGGCUUCUCCCAGCAUA
rnacentral:lncRNA from 10 species